rnacentral:misc_RNA from 1 species
GAGUGGUGAUUGACGUGCGUGGGUACGUUGGAUCCCUGCUUGGGCAGCGACAACGUACCUUUCUCGUCUCUUCAGUUGUUGGCAUGGGCGCACUGAGCCCUUGCCGGAUGAUGUUUUCCUGUGCUAUAUACCCAUUACAAGGGUAUUGAAUUUGCUCAAUUGCAUCUGUUCGCUUCCUGUUGCGUCCCCUCGGAUUUUGGCAUGAAGUGAACGUUGAAGUAUUGAUUGUGUACCACUUUCCUUGCAUGCGCACGUGCUUGGGUUGUUGGACCACGAUCCUUGCUCGAUCUCUUGGCUGCGGAAUACCUUGUGGGCAUGAGGCACUAGUCUCUCUUCGCCCCAUUUUGAGCGUUUUAACGCCACGUUCGAACGACAGUUGUGGUCGUCCUGACUAGGUCUUUAUGGCUUGGCUCAUACGGUCCCAACGUCGAUGAGGAAUGCUACCUGGUUGAUCCUGCCAGUAGUCAUAUGCUUGUCUCAGAGAUUAA